rnacentral:rRNA from 1 species
AUAGCGUAUAUUAAAGUUGUUGAGGUUAAAAAGCUCGUAGUUGAACCUUGGGCCUAGCCGGCCGGUCCGCCUCACCGCGUGCACUGGCUCGGCUGGGGCUUUCCUUCUGGAGAACCGCAUGCCCUUUAUUGGGUGUGCUGGGGAACCAGGACUUUUACCUUGAAAAAAUUAGAUCGUUUAAAGAAGGCCUAUGCCCGAAUACAUUAGCAUGGAAUAAUAAAAUAGGACGUGUGGUUCUAUUUUGUUGGUUUCUAGAGCCGCCGUAAUGAUUAAUAGGGACAGUCGGGGGCAUCAGUAUUCAAUUGUCAGAGGUGAAAUUCUUGGAUUUAUUGAAGACUAACUACUG